rnacentral:lncRNA from 1 species
UCCCCGCCUCGGCAGCCACGGGACACCUGCAUCUGCCAACAAGACUGGAAGCAGAAAGGGACAGAGACGGCGAAGUUUGACGGUCUGGAAAGCAGAGACCAGCAGGGCUGACUGCUUGGGAGCACCAAAUAUCCGGACAGCGCCUCUCGGGAGGUCCGAGAAGAGAACCGCGAUCUGUUUCAGCACCGGGGCUCAGGACAGUUCCCAGCGGGCUCCGUUUCGUCUCCAGAACCCUGGACAGCUCCUCCAGAGACGGGGUUUCACCAUGUUGGCCAGGCUGGUCUCAAACUCUUGACCUCUUCAUCCGUCCACCUCAGCCUCCCAAAGUGCUAGGAUUACAGGCGUGAGUCACUGCGCCUGGCCCAAGUCCGGAAUUUUCAACAGGACAUGGGUGUUACUGUGCCCAUGUGACAUUUGGGGAACCCAAGGCCCUGAGAAAGGCAGAAAAAUAACCCACGCAGGGACUCUCAGCCCACAAGUGAAGCUCUUGGAAUGCACUCCCUCCACCUCCAACCAGAGCUCCCCACAACUGACCCUGCCUUCUUCUGCAAGCUCCAUUUCAUCAAGGGAAACGAUCCUUAUUGCCUCACCAUUUCCCACGUGAAGUCUGUAUUGACAUUCUCAUAGACCUGGGAUAUUGUGUCUGCAGCACAUAGUCCAAUUAUUUUCAUGUUAUCUACUGACAGGUCUAUUUGUCUCCCUGUUACACUGUGAGCUCCGUGAGGGCAGAAACAAUGUUAGUAUUUUCACUGCUGUGUCCCCAGCGCCUGGUCCGGGGCCCGGCACACAGCAGGCAUAUAAUAAGCAUGUGUUGAAUCAAUAAAGGCAUCAAAGAAUAAACCAAUACAUCAAUCAAUAAAUGAAUGAAUGGCCUCAGC